GUUUUUUUAUUUUUGGAAAUCGAUUUCUAGAGAUGCAGUGGUGAUAUGAAAUUUUUUUUUAUCGUCGCGAGUUUAGUUAGGGGUCGAUUCGUUCAUAUAUCUCUUGAUUUUGAUUGUGUUCAUCUCUCUCUAAUUGUUAUGCUCAGAUCGUUUUUUGCUGUAUUAAGCGCUAUUGUUGAUUCCCUAGCAAUAGAGUUUUAAUCUAAAAUCGGCGAUUAAUAGCGAGUUUCGACAGCGAAAACAAGCGAUUUCCUGGGCGAUUGUGGCUUGCGGUUUCUGGGACUCCCCCUCGUUGCAGAGUAACAUACAUGAGCGAUUGGAAAUGCGACCUAACAAACAAGAAAUCGAAGUCCUUCCUGCUGCUUCAUGACAAAUAGUGUACACCAAUGCUGUAUAGAAGACAUUGACUCUGUUAUGAGUAUUGCAUCGAGAGGAGGGGAAAAAGAAGGGACCUAUAGACGAUGAGAAGAUGGUCCAAGGCUACCACAAACAGUGACUGAUUAACCAACUUUUGUUUAGUUUCAAUGCUGAGAAUACAUAAAAAUUUAUACAGCAACACUUUAUGUUUUGUACGGCAAUACGUGAAACGGUGCACUGCAAUUAUGAUACAUGCAAAAUUGAUCUCA